GUAGGUGAACCUGCGGAAGGAUCAUUACUGAAAGGAACUAUUAAUUUGGUUUUUUUCUUCCAUCCCCCUUUGUUGAUUGAAUCCAUAUUUUUUUUUUUCUUCCACUGGACAGUGUUCCUUUCCUGUUAGGAGAGGCGCCCUCAGGCUUGAAAGUAGUUUCCCUACUUCUUGUCAGGGAGUGCUGGUGGUAAGACCCCUCUUAAAAAAUUCAUGAAUAAAAUUGUCUGAUACAACUUUCUUAAAUGAAAUA
rnacentral:misc_RNA from 1 species